rnacentral:rRNA from 1 species
AUACGGAGGGUGCAAGCGUUAUCCGGAAUCAUUGGGUUUAAAGGGUCCGUAGGCGGAUUGAUAAGUCAGAGGUGAAAUCCCACAGCUUAACUGUGGAACUGCCUUUGAUACUGUUAGUCUUGAGUUAUAUGGAAGUAGAUAGAAUGUGUAGUGUAGCGGUGAAAUGCAUAGAUAUUACACAGAAUACCGAUUGCGAAGGCAGUCUACUACGUAUAUACUGACGCUAAUGGACGAAAGCGUGGGGAGCGAACAGGAUUAGAAACCCUAGUAGUCC